GACAGAGGUGCCGAGCGUUAGGCGGAAUCACUGGGCUUAAAGCGUGUGUAGGCGGCCCGUUAAGUGUCCCGUGAAAUCCCCCGGCUCAACCGGGGAACCGCGGGGCAUACUGGCGGGCUUGGGCCACUCAGGGGCAGACGGAACAGGCGGUGGAGCGGUGAAAUGCGUAGAUAUCGGGAGGAACACCGGUGGCGAAGGCGGUUCUCUGGGCCUUACCUGACGCUGAGGAGCGAAAGCGUGGGGAGCGAACAGG
rnacentral:rRNA from 1 species